ensembl:lncRNA
GUUUGUCCAACAUUAAGCAGAUAUUGGCAUCCUUAGGUGUGAGUCGGGAGGCAGUGAUCUCAGAUAUUGAACGAGCUAAAGCCAUGAGCAAUAUGAUAUUGAUUAGACAAUGGGUAUUGUAUUUACCCACAUAGCUUUAUUGGGUGAGGCUCAAUGUGAUGUUUUUAUUUGGGAAACUUAAGAAAGAUAAUUAAAAAUGCUGUAAGGAGAGCCCAGCAGCCUUUGUGCUUUGCCUUUUAAAGGCUGCAGAUGUCCUGUCUUCUUUCUUUAAAACGGCAUGUGCUCCCUCUCCACCUUCCAAAAGAUCAAGGGUAAUAAUAACAACAAUAAUAAUACAGUGUCCUGGAAUUUUUCUACAUGCCUCAGGAGAACUUUAAUUUUUUCCAGAAACUGUUUUCUGACAACAGCCGCCCCGUGGACUUUUCCUGUUCCCCAGAAUGCAUUUCCAGUGCUGCUGCGGCCAAGUUAAAAUGGUGUCUUUUGGAUAUAAGGCCUUUUAUGUAGAAAACCUUUCUCUUGCUGAACAAAACCCUGCCUGCAGCGUGGGGCAACCCUGACCCGGUGAGCAGGUAGUGUUGUGCACUUUGAGCCUGUGCACCACGGGCAGCCCAGUGUGGCCUUGAUGACAGAAUUCGGGAGCCUUACUCGCAUCCACAGACGGCCCAGUGCUCGAAGCAUGCACAGAGGAUGCAUCCUGUCCACCUCUUCCGCUGUUUCUCCCAUCAGUUGCAUUCCCUUUCCCCAAGGGCUUUUUUCCAUUUUUUUAACUUUAUAAUCCCACAGCAAUGCCCAGCCCAGCUGCAUUCCCAUCUUGCAUCAGAAGGCUGACUCACUGCAGCGCUCAGCUCGGUUGCAUUUCCCUUCCAUGGGACAUGGGUCCACAUGGCUGCAGACAGGGCCUGGGCCUGGCACACAGCGAGGCAUGCACCCAGCUCAGGGCUGAGGCCAGCGCCCGUGUGCCACCCUCUUUGCCUCUGCCAAGGUCUUUCAAGCUGAGGUGUGAUGGCUCAGCCUUUCUCCUCCCUCCACGGAUGGCUGCUGCUGUAACUCCCCAAGCUUUUGGCCAUGGGCUGUUUAAUAUUUUCUUCCAGCUCAGCCAUCUCCAGUCACCAGAGCUGCUGCCGGCUCUACUCCCAUGGGUGAGGCAGCUUCUCACAGCCACCACUUCCUCUGCUCUUCAACCUGAUGCUUUCCAGCUCUGCGCUUUGCAAGGGGAGGCAAAGGAGCGUGUGCCGAGCCUCCAUCUGCACCACAUCACGGGAAUACAAAAUGGCACCGAAUCCUACUUUUCCUCAUUAGAUGUGGGCAAACUUGGCUGGAGCGCAAGUGCGAAAGCUCAUCUUUCUUCAGCUGCUUGUAAUUCAUGCUUGAGCAAGAGCAUUAUUUGGGGCUUAAGUCAGAGUCUUCUAAGUAGGUCACAGUUCUUCUAGACCCAAACUCCUGCAUAUGACUUCUGAGAAAUGCAGAUCCCUGUCCUCCUGAUUAGUGAAACACCUCAGGAGCCCUCUUUUCAGUUUUAUCAGCUCCUCAAAUGAAUCCAUAAAACAAAUAGUUACUAAGAAGUUGCUUCCUGCAUAGGGUUCAGACUUGGAAAAAUUCCUCUGCCUUGGGUGGCAGCCAUUUCUGUCUCAUUUGCAUGGCUAGUUUCUUGCAUUUUAAGGAUGCUCCACUGUAGCCAGGUAAAUGGAUGCACCCCGCAACUCCUCUAGUCUUUGCAUCAACAAGAGGACAAAAAGCUACGGAGAAGGCAAGGAAGCUCCAGCCUACAGGGGCUGUGCUGGCUGAAACACAUGCAGUGCAGUCCAUGCUGUAAAACAGCAUUCAUUUUAGUGGUGCAGAGGCUGAUUUGCCAAAUCAUCACAGCAUGUGUUAGAUGUUAAUCCUAGUCUUUAGAAUAGAACUACAGCUUCAGACACACCCGGAGAUAAAAUGAGGGAAAUACAAGAGCUCAACAAGAAGCAGAGUGAAGUGGAAUGGCACAGUGCAAGGAUGUGUUAAGAGCUCUUUGAGGCACUGGUGGCAUAAGUAAGUUUUCCUGGUAUUUCUGCAGGGCAGUUCUGAAUGCCUAUAGCAGCUCACCACCUGCGUUUGAAAAUGAUAGCAUUUGCUUUUUUCAGUCAUCUAGAAAUUAAGCUUUACCUCCUCCUUCAGUAGCAGGAUGAGUCUGGACUGCAGUGACAUGAGGGAGAAGUCAGAACCAAACAUACUCUAUAUCUCUCGCCGGAGGAGAAGAGUUGCAUCUCCACAAAGGCACGCAGAUGCAGCGAUGGGACCUCAUGAUGGAUUGUUGGUGUGAGCACAUGGACGUGAAACCAUGAACAGAGGAAUUUGCACAGGCCAGCAUUUGUGUUUCAUUCUGAAAGCCCAGCAGAAUCAGACCCCUAACUCUGGCUGGUGUUAAACAUGAAGGCAGCGUGCAGCUUUUCUCUUGCAUGGGUUCCCAUGUAGUACUGCUGACCUGCCUCACUGCAGCUACCCUGUUCAGGCCCUUGCAUGCCUUCAGGCUUUCCUUCCGAGAGUGCUUCUGAUGCCAGAGGGUUUUGGCAACAGUUGUAAUGUGCAUGAUUAUUUCCAGUGAGGAAACCAUUGGUGAUAACAGCAAUGAGGAGGUAUGUGGGUAUAAGCCACAGCUUGCUGAAGGCAUGAGACCAUUAGGGUAUGUAAGGAUAGGCUCCUGAUGCUGUCAGAGAGGAAGCGGCUCUGCACGUGAAAUAAUGUAGGGAAGGGAAUAUGCUAAACAUAGUUUAACUCCUGAGCUGCUCCCUGUGAAUAAAGUGUUUCCAAAAGCCUUCAGAUUCGGCUUGAGCUAGGUGCUCAUUCAGCUAAUGAAAACGUUACAUGCCCUCUGUCUAACCAACCUGAUGUAUUUGCUAAGCACUACAGCGAAAAGAGAUGCUUUUUGGUCACUUUUGUUGCCAUGUUCCCUGAUACCAAUGUUGACGUUAUAAACUCAAGCAGUAUUUUAAGUUGCUGUGAUCUUAAAAUUUUGUUUUCUUACGCAGCUGCCCAGGCCAGCUUACAUGCUGAUCAGGAUCUGCUGCAGCCUGGGAAUAAUCAGGCACCAGCUUCUUGGGCAGGCGAGUAAAUCCUUACUGACAUCAAUGAACUGAAAAAUUCUGAGGCCUGGCAGUGACAAAGGGAAUAGUGAAUGAGAGCAGUAUUUCUUUAUAUUGAUCUACCUUUCCUCAUCUACUAAUAACACUGACUGUUUACCCCCUGUAAUAAGCUGUGAUGGGUGCUAUGUGGGUCUUUGCUUUCCAGUUCUCCAGAAUCAGUUCACACAAACCAAGAAAUCUCCCAGUAAAUGAGCUGGCUAGGACUAGAUAAAAUUAAGUGUAUUAAUAUUGUUAAAGCUUGCAGUUCAAACUCUUGUUAGACAAAUUUAGACAUUGAUUUUAUACCUAAGAAUUCCUCUAACCAAUACUUAGUGUCUUCAACUCAGUCUCCCAGAUGGGAAGAGCAGACUCCCCGGAAGAGAAGGGAAGGGAUGGGUUCCCCAAAGCCACCUGGGGAACCUGGGCAGAUGCUGAUGACUUUGUCUUGAUCCAAAUCCCUUACUUUGUGGAGGAAAUUGGAGUUGAUUCUGUUCUUUGGAUUUCUGCUUUUAAUGGUACUUCUCGAGCUAUUUCUGUGCAUCAUCAAAGGUGGCAGUGUGUGAGCAAUUAAGCCCAAAAUAAUAUAAUUUUUCAUCAGUUUCUCAAUCAAGAUUUGGUAUGCUUUAAAGAUACAGGACUGUUUCUGAGAAGCACCUAAAUACAGGAUGAUUUUAUAGCCUGAGGAAAGUGCAGAGUGUGACAAGUGGAUGCAACUGAAGUUUGUAAGAUGAUGGAAAAAACUGUAAGGAACAAGGAUUUAAGAACUCAUAGUGUGCAUCC